rnacentral:rRNA from 1 species
CUGGUUGAUCCUGCCAGAGGCCAUUGCUAUCAGGGUUUGACUAAGCCAUGCGAGUCGAGAGGUGUAAGACCUCGGCAUACUGCUCAGUAACACGUGGUUAACCUGCCCUAAGGUGGAGAAUACUCCCGGGAAACUGGGGCUAAUGCUCCAUAGUGGAUAUGUCCUGGAAUGGUAUAUCCUCGAAAGAUCCGUCGCCUUAGGAUGGGACUGCGUCCGAUUAGGUUGUUGGCGGGGUAACGGCCCACCAAGCCAUUGAUCGGUACGGGUUGUGGGAGCAAGAUCCCGGAGAUGGAUUCUGAGACAUGAAUCCAGGCCCUACGGGGCGCAGCAGGCGCGCAAACUUUACAAUGCGAGCAAUCGUGAUAAGGAAACCCUGAGUGCCUGUCGAUGCAGGCUGUUCAUAUAUCUAAAUCAUAUGUGAAGAAAGGGCAGGGCAAGACCGGUGCCAGCCGCCGCGGUAAUACCGGCUGCUCGAGUGAUGGCCACUAUUACUGGGUUUAAAGCGUCCGUAGCUUGACUGUUAGGUCUCUUGGGAAAUCUUCACGCUCAACGUGAAGGCGUCUAAGAGAUACCGGCAGUCUUGGAACUGGGAGAGGUAAACCGUACUUCGGGGGUAGGAGUGAAAUCUUGUAAUCCUCGAGGGACGACCUAUGGCGAAGGCAGUUUACCAGAACAGCUUCGACAGUGAGGGACGAAAGCUGGGGGAGCAAACGGGAUUAGAUACCCCGGUAGUCCCAGCCGUAAACAAUGUGCGUUAGGUGUGUCGGUAACCACGUGUUACUGAUGCGCCGAAGAGAAAUCGUGAAACGCACCACCUGGGAAGUACGGUCGCAAGGCUGAAACUUAAAGGAAUUGGCGGGGGAGCACCACAACAGGUGGAGCCUGCGGUUUAAUUGGAUUCAACGCCGGG